AGGGAAAUUACUGCCUGGUUGAGUGUCAGGGACUGUGUUCUGAGGACUGGACUUCAGCCACACCCUACGACCUCCCACCAUAGUUGGACGCCAUCCAUAGGACUUUCUCCUGAUCUUUCCCAUCAGUUCAAGUGAUGCC
rnacentral:lncRNA from 13 species